CUUGACGACCAUAGAGCAUUGGAACCACCUGAUCCCAUCCCGAACUCAGAAGUGAAACGAUGCAUCGCCGA
rnacentral:rRNA from 4 species